rnacentral:lncRNA from 1 species
UAUUUCACACUCCACUAGGCAGCUGAUUUGAGAUUGUCUGUUAGCAUAACAAAGGCUCUGAGCCUGUGAACUUCAGAAACCUUUCGACCUCUUAGCUGCUGGCAUGAAUAGCCCCCAGUCCUGCCUAUAGAGAUCUCCCAAAGCUCCCCUGUUCGUGGCUAAAUUGUUAAUCAGGGUAAUUUAAUAUAGUUUUCAAUAUGCCUCAUCUCUUAUUGGGAAAGGUAU